GACGAACGCUGGCGGCGUGCUUAACACAUGCAAGUCGAACGGAAAGGCCCCUUUGGGGGUACUCGAGUGGCGAACGGGUGAGUAACACGUGAGUAACCUGCCCUUGACUUCGGGAUAACUUCAGGAAACUGGGGCUAAUACCGGAUAGGAAUCCUUGCUGCAUGGUGGGGGUUGGAAAGCUUCGGCGGUUUUGGAUGGACUCGCGGCGUAUCAGCUUGUUGGUGGGGUAGUGGCUUACCAAGGCUUUGACGGGUAGCCGGCCUGAGAGGGCGACCGGCCACAUUGGGACUGAGAUACGGCCCAGACUCCUACGGGAGGCAGCAGUGGGGAAUAUUGCACAAUGGGCGGAAGCCUGAUGCAGCAACGCCGCGUGCGGGAUGACGGCCUUCGGGUUGUAGACCGCUUUCAGCAGGGGCGAAGCUUGUGGUGACGGUACCUGCAGAAGAAGCACCGGCUAACUACGUG
rnacentral:rRNA from 1 species